CACGUAGGGUGCGAGCGUUGUCCGGAAUUAUUGGGCGUAAAGAGCUCGUAGGCGGUGUGUCACGUCGGCCGUGAAAACCUGCAGCUUAACUGUGGGCGUGCGGUCGAUACGGGCAUCACUGGAGUUCGGCAGGGGAGACUGGAAUUCCUGGUGUAGCGGUGAAAUGCGCAGAUAUCAGGAGGAACACCGGUGGCGAAGGCGGGGUCUCUGGGCCGAUACUGACGCUGGAGGAGCGAAAGCGUGGGGAGCAAACAGG
rnacentral:rRNA from 1 species